GGCUCAGGAUGAACGCUGGCGGCGUGCUUAACACAUGCAAGUCGAACGGUGAAGCCCCGCUUGCGGGGUGGAUCAGUGGCGAACGGGUGAGUAACACGUGAGCAACCUGCCCCUGACUCUGGGAUAAGCGCUGGAAACGGCGUCUAAUACUGGAUACGAACCGCAGCCGCAUGGCUCGUGGUUGGAAAGAUUUUUUGGUUGGGGAUGGGCUCGCGGCCUAUCAGCUUGUUGGUGAGGUAAUGGCUCACCAAGGCGUCGACGGGUAGCCGGCCUGAGAGGGUGACCGGCCACACUGGGACUGAGACACGGCCCAGACUCCUACGGGAGGCAGCAGUGGGGAAUAUUGCACAAUGGGCGAAAGCCUGAUGCAGCAACGCCGCGUGAGGGACGACGGCCUUCGGGUUGUAAACCUCUUUUAGCAAGGAAGAAGCGAAAGUGACGGUACUGCA
rnacentral:rRNA from 1 species